GCGGCGAUAGCACGUUGAACAAACCAGAUUCCAAUAGAUCACUGAAGUUAAGCAACGCUUUGCGUGGUCGGUAUCCGGAUGGGUGACUAUUGAGGAAAUCAUUGGUGAAAUCC
rnacentral:rRNA from 1 species